ensembl:lncRNA
GGGGGGCGUGCAAAGACCUGUCCGACUGUCUGUGAAGGCUGAGCGGCUUGCAGAAGGAGGAGAAGGAAGUGAACCAGGAGGGACAGGGAGCAGGUGGGCGGUGCCUCUGACGAGGAAACAGAGACAUAAGAGGCCGGGCCGCGACGAGGCUUCAUUACUGCUACUGCAGCGUGUGUGUGAAGGGUGUGAAGCAAGGAUAACAAUGGCCCCCACCCCCCCUCCUCCUCUUACUGCUGUGGGCUCUGAGGGUCAGUGCACUGCUCUCGAUCGCAGCGUGCGUCUGUGCUGAGCCGGACAGAACCGAGGAGUACGAGGUCGUCCGACCGAUCAGACUGCACUCGCUUCACAAGAGACACGCAGAGUACUCACGGCCGGACUCUCUGAAAUAUGCGAUGACCGUCCGAGGAAGAGACAUUGAAAUGCAUCUGGAGAGAAACAGG